GGAUAAAGCUCAGUUGGUAGAGUACUUGCCUUGCAUGCAUAAGGCCCUGGGUUCGAUCCCCAGCACCA
rnacentral:tRNA from 1 species